UACGUAGGGUGCGAGCGUUGUCCGGAAUUAUUGGGCGUAAAGAGCUCGUAGGCGGUCUGUCGCGUCGAUCGUGAAAACUUGGGGCUUAACCCUGAGCUUGCGGUCGAUACGGGCAUGACUGGAGUUCGGCAGGGGAGACUGGAAUUCCUGGUGUAGCGGUGAAAUGCGCAGAUAUCAGGAGGAACACCGGUGGCGAAGGCGGAUCUCUGGGCCUUACCUGACGCUGAGACGCGAAAGCGUGGGGAGCGAACCGG
rnacentral:rRNA from 1 species